AGAGUUUGAUCCUGGCUCAGAGCGAACGCUGGCGGCAGGCUUAACACAUGCAAGUCGAACGGGCAUCUUCGGGUGUCAGUGGCAGACGGGUGAGUAACACGUGGGAACGUACCCUUCGGUUCGGAAUAACUCAGGGAAACUUGAGCUAAUACCGGAUACGCCCUUUUGGGGAAAGGUUUACUGCCGAAGGAUCGGCCCGCGUCUGAUUAGCUUGUUGGUGGGGUAACGGCCUACCAAGGCGACGAUCAGUAGCUGGUCUGAGAGGAUGAUCAGCCACACUGGGACUGAGACACGGCCCAGACUCCUACGGGAGGCAGCAGUGGGGAAUAUUGGAUAAUGGGCGCAAGCCUGAUCCAGCCAUGCCGCGUGAGUGAUGAAGGCCUUAGGGUUGUAAAGCUCUUUUGUCCGGGACGAUAAUGACGGUACCGGAAGAAUAAGCCCCGGCUAACUUCGUG
rnacentral:rRNA from 1 species